rnacentral:rRNA from 1 species
AACGAACGCUGGCGGCAUGCCUAACACAUGCAAGUCGAACGAGACCUUCGGGUCUAGUGGCGCACGGGUGCGUAACGCGUGGGAACCUGCCCUUAGGUUCGGAAUAACUCCCCGAAAGGGGUGCUAAUACCGGAUAAUGUCUUCGGACCAAAGAUUUAUCGCCUUUGGAUGGGCCCGCGUUGGAUUAGCUGGUUGGUAGGGUAAAAGCCUACCAAGGCGACGUUCCAUAGCUGGUCUGAGAGGAUGAUCAGCCACACUGGAACUGAGACACGGCCCAGACUCCGACGGGAGGCAGCAGUGGGGAAUAUUAGACAAUGGGCGAAAGCCUGAUCCAGCAAUGCCGCGUGAGUGAUGAAGGCCUUAGGGUUGUAAAGCUCUUUUACCCGGGAUGAUAAUGACAGUACCGGGAGAAGAAGCUCCGGCUAACUCCGUG